rnacentral:pre_miRNA from 1 species
UGUCAUUCUGUCCCGAGCGACCUGUGCCACCGCACAGCUUGGUCACCGGGAGCAGAGUGGCUAC